UAGAGUUUGAUCAUGGCUCAGGAUGAACGCUGGCGGCAUGCCUAACACAUGCAAGUCGAACGGGGUUUAUAUAACAGAACUCUCCGGAGGGAAGAUAUAUAAACCUAGUGGCGGACGGGUGAGUAACGCGUGGGCAACCUGCCCUGUACCGGGGGACAACAGCCAGAAAUGGCUGCUAAUACCGCAUAAGCCUGCUGUGCCGCAUGGCACAGCAGGGAAAACCACGGUGGUACAGGAUGGGCCCGCGUCUGAUUAGUUAGUUGGCAGGGUAACGGCCUACCAAGACAACGAUCAGUAGCCGGCUUGAGAGAGUGGACGGCCACAUUGGGACUGAGACACGGCCCAGACUCCUGCGGGAGGCAGCAGUGGGGAAUAUUGCACAAUGGGGGGAACCCUGAUGCAGCAAUGCCGCGUGGGUGAAGAAGCACUUCGGUGCGUAAAGCCCUGUCAGCAGGGAAGAAAAUGACAGUACCUGGACAAGAAGCCCCGGCUAACUACGUGCCAGCAGCCGCGGUAAUACGUAGGGGGCAAGCGUUAUCCGGAUUUACUGGGUGUAAAGGGAGCGCAGGCGGCGUGGCAAGUCAGAUGUGAAAACCCGGGGCCCAACCCCGGGAGUGCAUUUGAAACUGCCAUGCUGGAGUGCCGGAGAGGUAAGCGGAAUUCCUAGUGUAGCGGUGAAAUGCGUAGAUAUUAGGAGGAACACCAGUGGCGGAGGCGGCUUACUGGACGGUAACUGACGCUGAGGCUCGAAAGCGUGGGGAGCAAACAGGAUUAGAUACCCUGGUAGUCCACGCCG
rnacentral:rRNA from 1 species